AUGGCAGACGCCAAGGCCACGACGGCGGUCACCCUCCGCACCCGCAAGUUCAUGACCAACCGCCUGCUCGCCCGUAAGCAGUUCGUGCUCGAGGUCAUCCACCCGGGCCGCGCCAACGUCUCCAAGGCGGAGCUGAAGGAGAGGCUCGCCAAGGUGUACGAGGUGAAGGACCCCAACUGCAUCUUCGUCUUCAAGUUCCGCACCCACUUCGGAGGCGGCAAGUCCUCCGGAUUCGGUCUCAUCUACGACAACCUCGAGUCCGCCAAGAAGUUCGAGCCCAAGUACCGCCUCAUCAGGAAUGGCCUUGCUACCAAGGUAGAGAAGUCACGCAAGCAGAUCAAGGAAAGGAAGAACAGGACAAAGAAGAUCCGUGGUGUGAAGAAGACCAAGGCCGGAGAUGCCAAGAAGAAAUAA
rnacentral:rRNA from 1 species